AUGAUCCGCAUUGCGCAAGUAGACAAGAUCCAAGAGCGCGGGUCAACAUCUCCUACUAGAUCGAUGGCAGGAAAUGGUCAAAUGGAUGCCCAAGAUUCACAGAACACGAGGCUGGAGAUUGACAUUGGCGACGACAAGACCAUGACCAUCGAGAUCACUCUUAGAGGGAGGCUCACUCUGCAGAGCACGGAUCCACCUCGAGCUGUCGUACAUGCAGAAGAAGAGGGCAGGGCAUUACCGGACAGAGCCGUUGAAGAGCAGGAGUCUCUGGACAAGAAGAAUUACAAGAUGCGCGGAUACUUGAUGGUGGUGUGCACCCUCUUCAUCGCCAUAGCGUUUCAGGCGGCGAUGCAGCCGCCGAGCUGGAUCCCCAACGACUGGUAUCGGGUGUACAAGCGUGGCCCUUCACCGGCGCCGGAUACCAGCACCACCACCACGUACGCGCAAGCUCGUCGGGCGAGGGACUACAUGUUGCUCAGCGCGGUGAAUUUCGCAAUACCGGUGGUGCUGGUGUCGGUGUUGUUGCUGAAGAGAAUCCCAGCGACCCAUUUGAUACAAACGGUGAUGCAACAGCUGCCGAUCCUCUGCUUCCCAGUCGCCUGGGCCUUUGUCGUUGGCAGCGCGAGCGAUCCGGGCUAUACAUGGUACUUUUAUCUCACCAUUUUAAUUUACGGCGCAUGUACGGCUCUUCAUUUGUUGGCCCUGCGGGGACGCGAUCUUCGACUCCGUCGGCAAAUGGCAGAGGCAGACGACCCGUCUCUCCUGGCUUGA
rnacentral:rRNA from 1 species